rnacentral:lncRNA from 1 species
AUGAUGCAAGGUAAGGUUUUUUGUUUUUGUUUUUUAUGCCAAUUUAGCUCUAGUUUCUCUUUGCAAAAGAAGUUUCUUUUGUUUCUCUCUCUUCCUUCCUUCCAUCCUUGCCUUUUUCCUUCCUUCCUUUCUCUCGCCUAUAUUCCUCUUUCCCUCUCUCCCUCCUUUCCUUCUCUUUUUUCUUCUUUCUUUCUUCCUCUUUCUUCUUUCUUUCCUUCCUUCCUUCCUCCCUCCCUCCCUUCCUUCUUUUCUUUUCUUCUUUCCUUCUUCCUUUCUCCAUGUAUAAGUUCUUCCUUGGAAGAGCUCCUCCGAAGGGGAGAAGGAAGCGGGAGAGGGAGGGAAAGAGAGGGAGGAGAGGGAAAGAAGGAGAAAAGAAAAGAAAAAAAGGGAAGAAGGAAGGAAGGGAGGAGGGAAGGAAGGAAGGAAGGGAGGAAGGAAGGAAGGAAGGAAGGAAGGAAGGAAAGAAAGAAAGAAAGAAAGAAAGAAAGAAAGAAAGAAAGAAAGAAAGAAAGAAAGAAAGAAAGAAAGAAAGAAAGAAAGAAAGAAAGAAAGAAAGAAAGAGAGGGAGGGAGGAAGGAAGGAAGGAAGGAAGGAAGGAAGGAAGGAAGGAAGGAAGGAAGGAAGGAAGGAAGGAAGGAAGGAAGGAAGGAAGGAAGGAAGGAAGGAAUAGGAAUAGAUGGAUGUAAGAGGAUAGGGCAUUCUGGACUUGAGAAGACCAAGAACCAGUGAGGUUAAAUUCUUUGUCCAAAGUCAUACAGGUUGCAAAUAUCAGAGCUAGUAUUUAAGCCCAAGUCUUGGGUCAUUUAGUUUACUUCCCUUUUUACUGCUCUAUUCUUUUAUCAUUAUGGAUAGCCUUUGGGUUCAUGAGGGGAGAAGAAAAGAUUUAGAACAAAUAGUUACAAGAAUGUGAUAAAGAGUCAAUCAAGAAAGAAUAAAAAAAUGUCAAGCAGCCCUGAAACUGCA